GUAAAGGCGAGGAUGGGGAGAGUACCCCUUCCCAAUAGCCCCAAGCGAGCCGGGGACGGUGGGAGCCCGGUGGUGCGGGAAGGCGGGAAGAUCGCCCCGGAGCCGCGGGAGGAAAGGGCACGUCCCGAGUAAUGCCCGCCGGGUGGCGCCCGUGACAGCGCCCAAACGAGGGCCUGAGGAUUUCCUCAGGAAGCGCGGUGGUACCGCGGAAGCCUUAGCGCUUUCGUCCGCGCC
rnacentral:ncRNA from 1 species